rfam:Prunus persica cultivar Lovell chromosome G7, whole genome shotgun sequence.
ACGACCUUACUUGGACAGGAUCUGUUCUAUAGGAUCGUACCUCUGUAUCCUUGAUUUCUAAGGAGACAGGAAUCCCAACCUGGUGGAUGAAUCAUGACCGUGCGAUCAGAGCGUGAUUAACAGCUUCUGAUUCUUCGGAAUCAUUAAGCAGUAGAGGAUCGUUCUCAGCUGGGUGACUGGCUGGGGUGGUCGCACGGUUGUCUGACAGGUU